UGUUUCCGUGCCUGAUCCCAGCCCGAAAACGAGUGCGAUGCGAAGCAGAGCACAGCACAAAGAAGCCGAGGCUCUAAUCCCAAUAACCUCCUCGAAACAAAGCUCAUGCUUCUGCCUGGUGAGCGCGGCCCGCCGGGCUCCGCAGCCGGGUCCCGCAGCGGGGGCUGUUCCGGGGUCGGGCGGCGCAGCGGGGCCGGGCGCUGCCUCCGGCCCUUCCCAAGAGCUGCUCUCUGAGCAUCAUUCCAGUGAGAAGCGGCCAGCUCGGAGACAAAGCUAGGACCUCCCCACCCCACUCAGGCUCUCCCUUCGUGCCCUCAGCCCGGCAGCCGGGCUGCAGGCCGGGGGCUACUGCAGCUGCUGGGCCAGCGCUGGGACCACCGGGCGGGCUGCCCCUCUUUCCCUGUUGCACUACUGUCACGGUCGCAGCGAGCAGUGCAAUAAUGAAAGGGCGUCAGUGCGCUGGGGAGCGGCGAGAGCCGGGGACGAGCCGGUGACAGCAUGCGGGGACGGGACGUCCCCCCCCCCCCCCCCCCCCCCCCGAGAGCCACCUUAACAGGGGGAUGGGGGACACACAUACCACUCUGACGGACGGACUUUGGUUGUGCAACUUCCUUUGUUUCAACACGCAGCGGCGGUGAGUGUGCGCGCAGGGACAGGGCAAGGUGAGCGGCUCCGCGCACCGCUCGCCCCGGGCCCGCGACCGCCGCCGCUUCCCGCCCCGCCUGCUCCGGCCGCGCUGCCUGGGGCAGCCCCUCUGCUGUACCCGGCCAACACCAAAUAAAUAAAGUGACCCCAA